CCUACGGGAGUCAGCAGUGGGGAAUAUUGCACAAUGGGGGAAACCCUGAUGCAGCGACGCCGCGUGAGUGAAGAAGUAAUUCGUUAUGUAAAGCGCUAUCAGCAGGGAAGAAAAUGACGGUAUUUGAGUACUAAGCCCCGGCUAACUACGUGCCAGCAGCCGCGGUCAUACGUAGGGGGCAAGCGUUAUCCGGAUUUACUGGGUGUAAAGGGAGCGUAGACGGCGGGUCAAGUCUGGAGUGAAAGCCGGGGGCUCAACCCGCGGACUGCUCUGGAUACUGUACGGCUGGAGUGCAGGAGAGGUAAGUAGAAUUCCAGGUGUAGCGGUGAAAUGCGUAGAUAUUAGGAGGAACACCAGUGGCGAAGGCGGCUUACUGGACUGUAACUGACGUUGAGGCGCGAAAGCGUGGGGAGCAAACAGGAUUAGAUACCCCAGUAGUC
rnacentral:rRNA from 1 species